UACGUAGGGUGCAAGCGUUGUCCGGAAUUAUUGGGCGUAAAGAGCUCGUAGGCGGUCUGUCGCGUCUGCUGUGAAAACUCGGGGCUUAACCCCGGGCCUGCAGUGGGUACGGGCAGACUAGAGUGCGGUAGGGGAGACUGGAAUUCCUGGUGUAGCGGUGGAAUGCGCAGAUAUCAGGAGGAACACCGAUGGCGAAGGCAGCUCGCUGGGACGGUACUGACGCUGAGGCGCGAAAGCGUGGGGAGCGAACAGG
rnacentral:rRNA from 1 species